rnacentral:misc_RNA from 1 species
GAAAUGCGAUAAGUAAUGUGAAUUGCAGAAUUCAGUGAAUCAUCGAAUCUUUGAACGCACAUUGCGCCCUCUGGUAUUCCGGGGGGCAUGCCUGUUCGAGCGUCAUUAUAACCCUCAAGCUCUGCUUGGUAUUGGGCAUCACCGUUUGGUGCGCCUCAAAAUCAGUGGCGGCGUUGUCUGACUUCAAGCGUAGUAAAUCUCUCGCUCUGGAGUUCAGGUCUACACUGCUAUAAACCCCAAUUUUAAAAAGGUUGACCUCGGAUCAGGUAGGGAUACCCGCUGAACUUAA